GCUGGUUGACUGGGGCAGCCCAGAACACUGGGGAGACUAGAUCGAUAGGGCUGCACAGAGGUGGCACAGUUGUGCCAGAGGGCCAGACUUUGGCAGCGUGUAAGGUCUGAGGACAGGGGCACCGGAGGCCGAGGAUGAGAGGCCAGUGCCUGUUUCCAGGCAGCCAGGGCCUCAGAAACUCCGGCCGGAGCACUCACCCGUCGGUGGAGGCCGUUACCAGGGCCACCUUAUUUGCGAGCGGGUCCCGGCGGGUCAUCCCGGAGCUGGCCAUCCGCACCGAAUUCCAAGCCCGGGCACAGAGGCCUAGCAGCCCCGCCUUGUGCAUGGAUCAGACCAGCAAGUGCCACUUCGGAUAAACCCUUUGGACUCCUAACUCCAAUCAGGUGUCUGCUUUGUUGAGGACUCACAGACACAGUCUCCUUUCUUCAAGAUCUUUACAAUGCAAGACCUCACUAACACACAGGGAUGGUCUCCCAGAGGGUCUGUGCUGUUCCUUCACUCAGAACAUCAAGAUGCACUGAAGUAAGGAUCCUCUAUUCUACAGUUCCUGCUAGCUGAGCUAUUCCAUGGGGGCUUCAGCAGGAAAUUCCAAGGUUGGCUUUGACAAGCUAAGGCCGGCUGGUGGAGCACAUCGAGUUCUGGAGGUUCAUGUGUGUUUUCAUGAAGAUCUGUCUGCCCGUAGCAGAUAAAGAGUUGUUGCCCCACUCCUCCUGGGGUCUUCUAUUUUCCUGGGAGGAAUUUCUGGAUUAACUGAACACACACACACACACACACACCCUUUUGAAGCAUCAACAGUAAUUCUGAGUUCUUAGGGACAAUGCAGAUUAAAUCCACAAUAAGAAAGACAACUAUGGCCAGGUGUGGUGGCUCACGCCUGUAAUCCCAGAACUUUGGGAGGCUGAGGCGGAUGGAUCACCUGAGGUCAGGAGUUAGAGACCAACCUGACCAACAUGGAGAAACCCCGUUUCUACUAAAAAUGCAAAAUUAGCCGGGCAUGGUGGCAGGCGCCUGUAAUCCCAAAUACUCGGGAGGCUGAGGCAGGAGAAUCACUUAAACCCGGGAGGCAGAGGUUGCAGUGAGCCAAGAUCGCGCCAUUGCACUCCAGCCUGGGCAAGAAGAGCAAAACUCCAUCUCAAAAAAAAAAAAAGAGUACUAUUGAUCCAGAGGUGACCAGACUAGCCUCACUGGAGAUAAUAGGUGACAUUAUUAUGCAAAGUGGUUUCAGUUCCCUUGUCUUGUUUUUGGAAUAGUAUAAGAGGCCUACAAUACGAAUAAAUAAGGCCCAUCACAAGCCUCACCAAAGGACAAAACUAAUCCACUUCUGAAGAAGGCUCUUUGUUGGGCCAGAUCAAAUCCUUGGACAGAACUGUACUCUUAAUCUCUGUAGUGAAAGUGGGGGGUAGUUUAAGAAUUUAUUAACCUUCUACCUUGAGCAAUCCCUCAGAAGUAAGAGGUGUCAGGCCUCUGAGCCGAAGCUCAGCCAUUGUAACCCCUGUGACCUGCACAUAUAUGUCCAGAUGGCCUGCAGGAGCCAAGAAGUCUGGGGCAGCUGAAAAACCACACAAGAAGUAAAACAGCCAGUUCCUGCCUUAACUGAUUAACCAACAUUACAACAUUCCACCAUUGUGACCUGUCCCUGUCCUACCUUAACUGAUCAAUCGACCUUGUGACAGUCUUCUUCUGGACAAUGGGUCUUAUCAUCUCCCCACCAUGUACCUUGUGACCCCCUCCUCUGCUAACAAUAGAUAACCACUUUUUACUGUAAUUUUCCAUUACCUACCCAACUCCUAUAAAGCAACCCCUUCCCCAUCUCCCUUCACUGACUCUGUUUUCAGACUCAGCCCACUUGCACUCAAGUGAAUAAACAGCCUUGUUGCUCACACAAAGCCUGUUGGUGGUCUCUUCACACAGAUGUGCUUGACAAAAGGGAAGGGUGGAUUUGUCCUUCUGGUUACAUAUGUUCUGCUCACUCAUUUUGAAUUUAAUUAAACAAGGAUUGCCCUUACCUUUUCAUACUUUGUAAGAAACCAUAAAUACUUAUGCACCAUGAUUUUUUUAAAGAAACACUUUUUAUUUUGAAGUAAUUAUAGUCUCAUAGGAAGUUGCAAAAGUAGUACAUAGAGUCCCUGAGUACUCUUCCCCCAGUGGUGACAACUGUAGUAUAAUAUCAAUUCUGGGAAAUUGACAUUGGUACAAUACCAAAUAUACUAUGCCUUUUUCUCUAAGGCAUGAUGUUGCAGUAGCAUCCUUGUACAUGUAGCUAGGAGAACUUGUACUAAGCCCAGAUAAAUAGUUGAAGUACAAGGGCAAGGAGUGUGUCUUUGAUAUUUUAAUAGAAAUCACCUAUUGCCCUCUAGAAAAGCUGUACCCUUUUCCAGUGGCAGAGAACCUUCCUGAAAGGCAGUCCUGUGUAAUGGUGUCCAUUUCAUCACACCCUUAAAACACUCAGCUUUAACAAACAUGCAGAUUUUUGCUGAUGUGGGAGAAAAUAUUAAUUAUUAAUGAUAUUAAGGUGAUUAUCUUUUCGUAUGUUUAUAGAUAUUUGUAUUUCUUUUUAAAUGAACUGCUCAUGACCUUUGUCUACUUUUAUUUGGGUUUACUUCUUUCUCAUUUAUUCCUAUAAACUCUUUAUAAAAGGAAAUUAACCAUUUGAUUGUCAUAUGUUGUGAAUAUUUUUACCAUUUUGACUUUUGAAUUUAUGUCUUUUUAAUGAAUUGUAGAAGUUUAAAAUCUUUAUGGAAUAAAUUUAUUUAGUUUUUUGU
rnacentral:lncRNA from 1 species